CAGUUAAGUUGAUUUCUUCGGAUUGAUUCUUAACUGACUGAGCGGCGGACGGGUGAGUAACGCGUGGGUGACCUGCCCCAUACCGGGGGAUAACAGCUGGAAACGGCUGCUAAUACCGCAUAAGCGCACAGAGCUGCAUGGCUCGGUGUGAAAAACUCCGGUGGUAUGGGAUGGGCCCGCGUCUGAUUAGGCAGUUGGCGGGGUAACGGCCCACCAAACCGACGAUCAGUAGCCGGCCUGAGAGGGCGACCGGCCACAUUGGGACUGAGACACGGCCCAAACUCCUACGGGAGGCAGCAGUGGGGAAUAUUGCACAAUGGGGGAAACCCUGAUGCAGCGACGCCGCGUGAGCGAAGAAGUAUUUCGGUAUGUAAAGCUCUAUCAGCAGGGAAGAUAAUGACGGUACCUGACUAAGAAGCCCCGGCUAACUACGUGCCAGCAGCCGCGGUAAUACGUAGGGGGCAAGCGUUAUCCGGAUUUACUGGGUGUAAAGGGAGCGUAGACGGCAAGGCAAGUCUGAUGUGAAAACCCAGGGCUUAACCCUGGGACUGCAUUGGAAACUGUCUGGCUCGAGUGCCGGAGAGGUAAGCGGAAUUCCUAGUGAAGCGGUGAAAUGCGUAGAUAUUAGGAAGAACACCAGUGGCGAAGGCGG
rnacentral:rRNA from 1 species